ensembl:lncRNA
GGAGAUUUGUCAGGAUAAAAACACCUGGACCCCACCUCACAACCAGUGAACCAUCACCUUCCUUGUAGCAGCCAUGCCUCCAUCCAAGGAACAAGGGCAGGCAGAAAAGUGAAAGAAAGCUUUCCUAGCAUCUGAUGAAAGGAUGAAAUAUGGAUGGCUGCUAACCCUAAGGAUUUCCCACUAGAGGCAUCAUUUGGUGGCAAGUCUGUUUACUACAUUUGCAAGAAGGGACAGGAAGCAGACAGAGGCAACAGGGCUUCUAAGGAACGGGCGUAUGUUUCCAGACAUCACUCAGCUGAGAGUAUAUUUCCUACCGGAGAUGUUUAUAAAAUGCUUCCCGUCACUGAGGCGCAAAGCACAGGGCUCUGGCAGAGCGUGUGUGGAAUUUUCAAAGGGAAAUUAGGUUCCUGCCAAAUUGGACCAUCAUUUUUUUUUUCCCUGAACAUUUCCCACCUCCUCCCAUUUCCUAGGCUUUGAUCCACCUCUUUCUGCCAUCGGUAGUGCCACCACCUCAUUUCUACUUGUCAGAAGUCCAUAAAUUCACUGAGCCACGGUUUUUAAAAAACCCUGUCAAAAAUACUGGUCUAAGCCUGCUCUGACCCCCACCUUAAUACACUGUCUUCUUCCUUCAAUUUCACCACUGCAUUUGCCAGGAAGGAGCUCGGGUGGCCGCGUGGCUGAAGGACAGGGGGACCUCAUGGUGCGGGCAGGCAGGACAGCCCAGCUCACGCAGUGAGGAGGUCUCCUCCAAGGGCUCCUGAAGGAAGCGAGGCUCAGGUCUCCUGCAUUCUGGAAUUCUCAACCUACCUGUUCCUGAAUCCUCCCUCCCCACCCCAGGCUUUCAGUCCUUGGGUGCCCAGGACAGAAACAUCUCGACUCUCUUCCGUUCCUAAAUUUCCUCCUCGGGCCUCAGGCUGGGCUUUCCUUGAAUCCCUGCCCUUUCCUGCCACCUCCCUCCUCUGUUGGAAGUUAAAACCCUACAGUCUAGUCCUCUGUGCUGGGCCAACGGUUAUUUCAAAGCCCAUCUUUGAGAUUUCUGGGAAAAUGCUUUUUCUUUCGUGUCUGGUUCUUGUAAUUGAAAGCUGGCCAUUUUUGCGUCUAUUGUGAACCCUUGGGGGAAAAAAAAAUCAUAGCGGGGCUGUGCCUUUAUUCUAGACAGAUUCCCCCUAUCCCCUGCAGCAAUGUUCACCUCAGCUUCACUGUGUGAAGAUCCCCAGGGUGGCACGUUUGAGUGGGAAUGAGAGCGAGACAAUUGAAAACAAACGGAAAGUAUCUUUCCUGCCACGCCUCUUUUGAUUUACAACAUGCUGCCUUUAUCAUACUUACAUAUCUUCUUAUUUUCACAUCUCCCUUCGAUUUACCCACUGACUGUCACCCAGAUCAUCAGUCUGAGGAUUUGAAAUAGCUCAACUGGAAUUCCAUCAACUUCACUAGCUUUGUUUGUAGUGAGGCUUCCUAAGGCCCACUUGACUUCGCAUUCCAGGAUGUCUGGUUCUAGUGAGGAGAUUACAAACAGGCCUGGUAGUUUCAUUCCAACACCAGUGGAGGCUUCCCUUGGCUCCCCUCGCCAUUCAGCUGUGACUCAGAGGAAUCUCCUUGGCUGUGAGAGGGCUUGUGACCUGCACAUCUGCUCGUCAUUUACCUACUGUGGAUCUGCUGGGCUGGUGAAGAACUGGUUCCUGCUUCUUCUGCCUUAUUCUGUGAUAUGUGGAGAGAAAUUGCUCCUGUUAAUUUGACUCCAUCCCUGGCUUUGCUCCUGUCAAAUCGGAUGCAUGGAAAUCCUCCAGAAUGUACCAUUCCCAUGGCUCUCACCAUCUUGUUUGCUCCUCCUUCCUGCGGUCAAUACAUCCCAGGUGCCACCUAUGUACCUGCUAAUUUUUACUCCCAGCUGCAAUGAGUCACUUGAAGUUUUAGUCUAUAAAACAAAUGAAAAAAGAGAAAGUUACUGAUGCAUGGGAUAGAGGAUGUGAUAUUGAUUGCUUUUAGAACAAAGAAAACCUGCUUACAGGUAUCCCAGUAAGAGUGUGAUUGGCAGCUUCUGCAAAUACCCUGCGUCUCCAAAGUCAGAAACACAAUGAAAGAGAGAGAAAAAACCUUAUGUAACCAUAACAGUGCCCAUUAUUAGUCUCUUAAAAUAACCCAGCACUUUACUAAGAUUUUGUGUAUAAUGAUAUCUUAUUAUUAUUUUAAAGGUCUUUUUUGAGGUGGACCAUUUUUAAAGUCCUUAUUGAAUUUGUUGUAAUAUUGUUUUUGUUUUUUAUGUUCUGGUUUUUUGGCCAUGAGGCAUGUGGGAUCCUAGCUCCCCGACCAGGGAUUGAACCCACUCUCCCUGCACUGGAAUGUGAAGUCUUAACCAGUGGACCACCAGUAGUCCUGAUAUAUUAAAGCAACUCUCUGGGAUAGGAGUAACUGUCCUCAAUUUACAGAUUAGGGAAUAUAAGACUUAGGGAAAUUAAAGAUACUAAUAAGUAGCAGAGCUGAAAUUCAUACUCAGGAAAGUCUGACUCCAGUACUACUUAUCCUUCCAACCAGCAUUUUCUUGCUUCUUAUUGGACUUUCCUCUUCUAGAUCAGGUCCAUGCUUGUGCUUUACUCAGUGAGAUUUCUCGGAAUCUGGAAAAUGGUGUUUGAUAUAUUUCAGGCUCUGUGAUAAUUCUGUAUGU